GCUUACGGCCACACCGCCUGGUUCACGCCGGAUCUCGGAAGCUAAGAUAGGUUGGGCCUGGUUAGUACUUGGAUGGGAGACCGCCUAGGAAUACCAGGUGCUGUAAGCC
ensembl:rRNA 5S_rRNA 5S ribosomal RNA